AUUAAACGCUGGCGGCAUGCCUUACACAUGCAAGUCGAACGGCAGCACGGGGGCAACCCUGGUGGCGAGUGGCGGACGGGUGAGUAAAGCAUCGGAACGUAUCCUGGAGUGGGGGAUAACGUAGCGAAAGUUACGCUAAUACCGCAUAUUCUGUGAGCAGGAAAGCAGGGGAUCGCAAGACCUUGCGCUCUGGGAGCGGCCGAUGUCGGAUUAGCUAGUUGGUGGGGUAAAGGCCUACCAAGGCGACGAUCCGUAGCGGGUCUGAGAGGAUGAUCCGCCACACUGGGACUGAGACACGGCCCAGACUCCUACGGGAGGCAGCAGUGGGGAAUUUUGGACAAUGGGCGCAAGCCUGAUCCAGCCAUGCCGCGUGAGUGAAGAAGGGCCUUCGGGUU
rnacentral:rRNA from 1 species